GGGAGCUCCCUGGGCCCUCCGAUCGUGCUCCAGUCCAUGAAAUAGUACCGUGGACUCUGAAAAACACGUAGAAAAUAUCCACACAGUCCACAGGCCCAGCCGUGGACCUCCCGAUCUAUGGUGGACCAGGGUACAGGGCUAGGCACGGUGCCUGGGCCUGGGCCGGCCCGCACACGUGGUCCUGGGCCGCGCCCGCUCCUGGCACUUGGGCCGCACACCUG
rnacentral:lncRNA from 1 species